AACACCAAGUUACAGACCGGCGAUUACAUGCAAUCCCGGUAUACAAGUCCGGCGGAUUAGACUUACAUCCCCGGAAACAGAAACCCACAUGAGGGACACAAUAUUAAACAUCAAACCAGACCGAGAGAUAACUACAGCACAAGCUAACAUCUAGAAACAUCAAAAACAAUAAAAAACAGAUCCAGAAGGCAGAUAGAACCGAUUGCAUGUAGACUUGAGAACCUUGGAGAGACAGAACGAUGGAGACAAACUUAAUCAAACCAUCGAGUCUAGAAACCUCCUAUAGUGAAUGGCCCAAACAAUUUAUAAACCAAAGCAGCAAGAUCCGGGAGAUCAAAGGAACAAUUUAUUUUCUUGUCUACAAACCGGAGACGGCGAAGUCGUAGAGAAGACGACAGGGAACGCCAACUUGAAGCUUAACGAAAGAACAGAUCUCGAUCAGAUCUAAAGGUUAAUGACAAGGAGCGAAUGCAUUCAUCAUGAUUAUAUAUAUGAAUUUUACAAAGAAAUUUGGCAGUUAUUAAGAAUGACAAUGUUAUAUAAAAACCCUUUAAC
rnacentral:lncRNA from 1 species